UACGAAGGGGGCUAGCGUUGUUCGGAAUCACUGGGCGUAAAGCGCACGCAGGCGGAUCGUUAAGUCGGGGGUGAAAUCCCGAGGCUCAACCUCGGAACUGCCUUCGAUACUGGCGAUCUUUGAGUCCGGGAGAGGUGAGUGGAACUCCGAGUGUAGAGGUGAAAUUCGUAGAUAUUCGGAAGAACACCAGUGGCGAAGGCGGCUCACUGGCCCGGUACUGACGCUCAGGUGCGAAAGCGCGGGGAGCAAACAGG
rnacentral:rRNA from 1 species